rnacentral:rRNA from 1 species
UACGUAGGGGGCGAGCGUUGUCCGGAUUUAUUGGGCGUAAAGAGCGUGUAGGCGGCCAGGUAGGUCUGCUGUGAAAACUCGAGGCUCAACCUCGAGACGUCGGCGGAAACCAUCUGGCUAGAGUCCGGAAGAGGAGAGUGGAAUUCCAGGUGUAGCGGUGAAAUGCGUAGAUAUCUGGAGGAACACCGGUGGCGAAGGCGGCGUUCUGGACUGUCUCUGACACUGAAGAACGAAAGCCAGGGGAGCAAACGGG